CCCUCCCUCUGGCGGCAGGCCUAACACAUGCAAGUCGAGCGAGACCUUCGGGUCUAGCGGCGGACGGGUGAGUAACGCGUGGGAACGUGCCCUUUUCUACGGAAUAGCCUCGGGAAACUGAGCGUAAUACCGUAUACGCCCUUUGGGGGAAAGAUUUAUCGGAGAAGGAUCGGCCCGCGUUGGAUUAGGUAGUUGGUGGGGUAAUGGCCUACCAAGCCUACGAUCCAUAGCUGGUUUGAGAGGAUGAUCAGCCACACUGGGACUGAGACACGGCCCAGACUCCUACGGGAGGCAGCAGUGGGGAAUCUUAGACAAUGGGGGCAACCCUGAUCUAGCCAUGCCGCGUGAGUGAUGAAGGCCUUAGGGUUGUAAAGCUCUUUCAGCUGGGAAGAUAAUGACGGUACCAGCAGAAGAAGCCCCGGCUAACUCCGUG
rnacentral:rRNA from 1 species